rnacentral:rRNA from 1 species
AUUGAACGCUGGCGGCAUGCUUUACACAUGCAAGUCGAACGGUAACAGGCCGCAAGGUGCUGACGAGUGGCGAACGGGUGAGUAAUGCAUCGGAACGUGCCCAGUCGUGGGGGAUAACUACUCGAAAGAGUAGCUAAUACCGCAUACGAUCUAUGGAUGACAGCGGGGGACCGUAAGGCCUCGCGCGAUUGGAGCGGCCGAUGUCAGAUUAGGUAGUUGGUGGGGUAAAGGCUCACCAAGCCAACGAUCUGUAGCUGGUCUGAGAGGACGACCCGCCACACUGGGACUGAGACACGGCCCAGACUCCUACGGGAGGCAGCAGUGGGGAAUUUUGGACAAUGGGCGCAAGCCUGAUCCAGCAAUGCCGCGUGCAGGAAGAAGGCCUUCGGGUUGUAAACUGCUUUUGUACGGAACGAAACGGCUCUGGUUAAUACCCGGGGCUAAUGACGGUACCGUAAGAAUAAGCACCGGCUAACUACGUG